CGCGCAGGACCUACAGUGCGUAAGGCACAACGUGCAAGCCUACUGCACGUAGGCCAAUGCGUGCAAGCGUACCACGCAAGCCUACUGCGCGGACAUCGCAAGCACAGGACACAUGGAGCUGUGCCCGUCUACGCGCGAGGGGACACGCAUGGACUGCACCUGUUUACGUGCGAUGGGAUACGUGCAUGGACCAAGCCUCGUGCAACUCAUGGAC
rnacentral:lncRNA from 1 species